rnacentral:rRNA from 1 species
UACGUAGGUGGCAAGCGUUGUCCGGAUUUACUGGGCGUAAAGAGCGCGCAGGCGGUCGUUCAAGUCGCGUGUGAAAGCCCCCGGCUCAACUGGGGAGGGUCACGCGAUACUGAUCGACUCGAAGGCAGGAGAGGGAAGUGGAAUUCCCGGUGUAGUGGUGAAAUGCGUAGAUAUGGGGAGGAACACCGGUGGCGAAGGCGGCCACCUGGACGGUAACUGACGCUGAGGCGCGAAAGCGUGGGUAGGCAAACAGG